UCGGACGUGGUGUAGUGCAACAAGGCUUCUUUCUGUAGGCGGUAAAACACACAUGUGCGGGAGGCAAUCCCGGGUUCGAUUCCCGGCGUCCGAA